rnacentral:lncRNA from 1 species
UUGAGCAAGUGGGGAGAAAAAAACAGAGAAGAACCAAGAAGCAAGAAGAGACCGAUUUUCUGUAGAGUUUUUGUGCAAAUUGAAUUCAGGUGAUUCAGAGUAGUAUAUGUGGUGGCUCAACCGUUUAGGUCUCUGAUACGUACAUGAUGGGAAUUAGUUAUUAUUGUUUUUCAUUCCUUAUGUAUCAAUUUUGGAUUACGUUGUAGAGCCUGUUUAUUAUGAUUUGGAUAAUGUUGUUGACUUUAUGAUGGGGCUUUUAGUGCCAGAACUUAUUAUUGGAUGUCAUGUAUUGAAAAUCAUUCCGCUGCAAAUUGUUGGUUGUUUAUUAAAUAGUAUUUUAUCUAUUUAA